rnacentral:rRNA from 1 species
UACGAAGGGGGCUAGCGUUGUUCGGAAUUACUGGGCGUAAAGGGCGCGUAGGCGGUGCCUCAAGUCAGGCGUGAAAGCCCCGGGCUCAACCUGGGAACCGCGCUUGAGACUGGAGUACUAGAGUUCGGGAGAGGAUGGUGGAAUUCCCAGUGUAGAGGUGAAAUUCGUAGAUAUUGGGAAGAACACCAGUGGCGAAGGCGGCUCACUGGUCCGGAACUGACGCUGAGGUGCGAAAGCGUGGGGAGCAAACAGG